UACAGAGGGGGCAAGCGUUGUUCGGAAUUACUGGGCGUAAAGGGCGCGUAGGCGGCCCGCUAAGUCAGACGUGAAAUCCCUCGGCUUAACCGGGGAACUGCAUCUGAUACUGGAUGGCUUGAGAUUGGGAGAGGGAUGCGGAAUUCCAGGUGUAGCGGUGAAAUGCGUAGAUAUCUGGAGGAACACCGGUGGCGAAGGCGGCAUCCUGGACCAACACUGACGCUGAGGAGCGAAAGCCAGGGGAGCAAACGGG
rnacentral:rRNA from 1 species